rnacentral:rRNA from 1 species
UACGUAGGGUGCAAGCGUUAAUCGGAAUUACUGGGCGUAAAGCGUGCGCAGGCGGUUUUGUAAGUCUGUCGUGAAAUCCCCGGGCUCAACCUGGGAAUUGCGAUGGAGACUGCAAGGCUAGAAUCUGGCAGGAGGGGGGUAGAAUUCCACGUGUGGAGCAGUUGAAAUGCGUAGAGAUAGUGGAGGAACACCGAUGGCGAAGGCAGCCCCCUGGG